rnacentral:rRNA from 1 species
AGUGAACGCUGGCGGUAGGCCUAACACAUGCAAGUCGAACGGCAGCACAGGAGAGCUUGCUCUCUGGGUGGCGAGUGGCGGACGGGUGAGGAAUACAUCGGAAUCUACUCUGUCGUGGGGGAUAACGUAGGGAAACUUACGCUAAUACCGCAUACGACCUACGGGUGAAAGAAGUGGACCUUCGGGCCUUGCGCGAUUGAAUGAUCGGAUGUCGGAUUCGCUAGUUGGCGGGGUAAAGGCCCACCAAGGCGACGAUCCGGAGCUGGUCUGAGAGGAUGAUCAGCCACGCUGGAACUGAGACACGGGCCAGACUCCUACGGGAGGCAGCAGUUGGGACUAUUGGACAAUGGGCGCAAGCCUGAUCCAGCCAUACCGCGUGGGUGAAGAAGGCCUUCGGGUUGUAAAGCCCUUUGUUGGGAAAGAAAUCCAGCUCGCUAAUACCCGGUUGGGAUGACGGUACCCAAAGAAUAAGCACCGGCUAACUUCGUGCCAGCAGCCGCCGCAG